UUGCAAUGAUGUAUUGAAUUUCUUCACCUGAAUUAAUGGCAUGAAGAAUGAAUAUACGAGCUUUUUAACCCUGAGCAAA